GAUGAACGCUGGCGGCGUGCCUAAUACAUGCAAGUCGAGCGAACGGACGAGAAGCUUGCUUCUCUGAUGUUAGCGGCGGACGGGUGAGUAACACGUGGAUAACCUACCUAUAAGACUGGGAUAACUUCGGGAAACCGGAGCUAAUACCGGAUGAUAUAUUGAACCGCAUGGUUCAAAAGUGAAAGACGGUCUUGCUGUCACUUAUAGAUGGAUCCGCGCUGCAUUAGCUAGUUGGUAAGGUAACGGCUUACCAAGGCAACGAUGCAUAGCCGACCUGAGAGGUUGAUCGCCCACACUGAACCUGAGCCACGGCCCAGCCUCCUAGGGAAGCCGGCGGUGGGAAAUCUCCCCAAUUGGCCGAAACCUUGCCGGACCACCGCGGCGUGGGUGAUGAGGGCCUUCGAUUCGUAAACCUCUGUUAUUGGGGAAAACCAUAUGUGUAAGUACCUGUGCACUUCUUAACGUUCCCAAUCCAGAAGGCCCCGGCAACCUCCGU
rnacentral:rRNA from 1 species